AUGUCAUAAUAUGGAUAUAAAAUAUCAUAAUUUUUUCAAAGAGUAGAAGCAUUUUCGUCAUUCAAAAUUAAAAAAAAAAAAAGAAACUACAGACAUUAAAUGUGCGUUGGGAAAUGAUAGCUAUAUGGACCAAUCACAAAAGCGGUACUCUCCACAUCGGAUUUUCUACACUACUCAUAGUGCACAAAGAAUUUCCUUGAGUAGGAAAGGAGGUAACAUUUGAAUUAGCUGAUGCAACCAGGUCACUUGCCUGAAUCGGUUGGAUGGGCUUGAUAGUCGGGCU
rnacentral:lncRNA from 1 species